rnacentral:rRNA from 1 species
UACGUAGGAUGCAAGCAUUGUCCAGAAUUAUUGGGCGUAAAGAGCUCGUAGGCGGUCUGUCGCGUCUGGUGUGAAAAUCCAGGGCUUAACCCUGGACCUGCAUCGGGUACGGGCAGACUAGAGUGCGGUAGGGGAGAUCGGAAUUCCUGGUGUAGCAGUGAAAUGCGCAGAUAUCAGGAGGAACACCGGUGGCGAAGGCGGAUCUCUGGGCCGUAACUGACGCUGAGGAGCGAAAGCGUGGGGAGCGAACAGG